rnacentral:snoRNA from 1 species
GGGUCAGUGAUGAGAACUCAAGUGGUCUCGAAGAGCGAUGAUGACCUAAAAAUCAUGCUCAAUAGGAUUACGCUGAGGCCC